ensembl:snRNA U6 U6 spliceosomal RNA
GCGCUCGCUUCGGCAGCACAGGUACCAAAAUUGGAAUGAUACAAAGAAGAUGAGCAGCGUCCCUGCGCAAGGAUGACACGGAAAGUCGUGAAGCAUCCCCUAUUUUU